CACAAAUUCCAUUCUUAUUUGGCUUUUAGGUUCUACUUCACCUCUGCAGAUGGAAAAAUCGGGAAUUGUGGGAUAAAAAUGGCUGAUUUUCUCGGGGAAUUUUGACAGAAACUUUCCCAGAUGGUGGAUCAUUGUUGUGUGAUCAAGAUUGCUUAAAGAAAUGGGAUUUGCGGUUUGUGUUGGUAAUUCACCUCUUGUAUCCAUGGAAUUGAGGUGGGUAAGAAGAAGCAAAUGUGAUAAUAAUGAUACUCCGAGGAGAAAACUCAACGAGCUGAAGCAUGCUGCAUCGGCAUUGCCUCGAUCCAUACCUAUUUAUAUCUCUACCUUGAAGAAAGACAUAAAUCUAGAGGAACUGAGACAUUUGUAUACACAUUGUAACCACUCUUGCAACCGUUUGUCCGAGAAUGGUAGCAUUGUGGAAAACACUGUUGACAUGAAAAAGCUGCGCAGAGCUAUCUCCCGCAGCGAUGUUGUUGUCUCUGUAUUCUGUAAACCUCAUCACGCGGAUCUUGUUGAAGAGAGCACCCGUGAAAAUGGUGGUGCUGCGGUUUUGUACUCUGAAGAAGAAAGUUUGUCUUCCUCAUCUCUGGGAGAUUUGUUUCAGGAUGUGUUGCCUCUCACCCCUGCAAAUGGCCAGCUUGUUGGGUUUGGUCGUGCCUAUUCUGACUAUGGCUUGACCGCUUCUAUCCACGAUCUGAUGGUAUUUUAUCUAUAGCACAAGUAUAUAACAGUGUCUUCCAGGUUUUACCUUCACUACAGAGGAUGGGAAUCGGUAAACUAAUUGUUAACAGAAUUAUCAGGCUUCUCACAAGCAGAGAAAUCUACGACAUAGCAGCUCUCUGCGUUGAGCAUGAAAGGCCAUUCUUCAAAGCCUGUGGGUUUGGAGAUGACAGGAUGGGUUCCACAACGAUGAUGUUCACGAAGAGCUUGGAGGUGUAAUCUGAAGCGAGAAGGCGGAAACUGAAUGAGCUCUGAAAUCCUCUCUGAUGAUCAAAGAAAAAGGCCAAAGAUUAAGUACCUUUAUUGCAUUUGGAUUUGAUGUCUAGUGAGACUCUUUUCACUUUUCAUGUAAGGCAACGCAUAACUCAAAUAGUUCAAAACCCUUCGCCUAAAUUUUCACCUUUUGAAUUGCUGAAAAUACUUUCUUUCUAUUCAUUCCGUUUUUAAACGAUCAAUUGUAAUUAACCAGUGUAUUAAAACGGAUUUUUUUUA